AUGCUCCUGUUUAUUGCAGGGGGAGGGGACGGUAUAAGAAUAGCUUUAUUGCACAACAAAGAGAAAUCAAGUGAGACAUUAUACUACUAAAUGUAUGUGGUCACAAUGAGAAUUUCCAUUUUUCUAAGUGGCACAAUUAGCAGAUGCUCAUAAAGUCUUCAGUAGAUCAUACCAUUUGACAUAAGACACAAAUUGCUCAACACUGACUCUAUUUAAUUUUGCUUUACCCCACUCUGCUCAGAGGCAGCUGAACCAAGGGACCCGCUAUAUCCCAUUUCAUGUUAUCAGGCUUUUAUUUCUCUGUUUGCUUCUCUGUACUAUGGACCUUUACAGCUGCUCACUGCACUCUCUAAACAUGGGAAGUAAAUACUAUUUUUGAACUCCCGCCAGUUGCAACAUACUAUGAGGUGCACUUAACAUACGUAAAGAUAAAUGUUGUAAC